rnacentral:rRNA from 1 species
GACGAACGCUGGCGGCGUGCUUAACACAUGCAAGUCGAACGGAAAGGCCCUGCUUUUGUGGGGUGCUCGAGUGGCGAACGGGUGAGUAACACGUGAGUAACCUGCCCUUGACUUUGGGAUAACUUCAGGAAACUGGGGCUAAUACCGGAUAGGAGCUCCUGCUGCAUGGUGGGGGUUGGAAAGUUUCGGCGGUUGGGGAUGGACUCGCGGCUUAUCAGCUUGUUGGUGGGGUAGUGGCUUACCAAGGCUUUGACGGGUAGCCGGCCUGAGAGGGUGACCGGCCACAUUGGGACUGAGAUACGGACCAGACGCCUACGGGAGGCAGCAGUGGGGAAUAUUGCACAAUAGGCGGAAGCGUGAUGCAGCAACGCCGCGUGCGGGAUGACGGCCUUCGGGUUGUAAACCGCUUUCGCCUGUGACGAAGCGUGAGUGACGGUAAUGGGUAAAGAAGCACCGGCUAACUACGUG